UGCAGUCGAACGCGUGUAGCAAGUACACGAGUGGCGCACGGGUGAGUAACGCGUGGAUAUCUGCCUUUUGGUUCGGAAUAACUCCGGGAAACUGGAGCUAAUACCGGAUGGUUCCUACGGGAUAAAGAUUUAUCGCCAAAAGAUGAGUCCGCGUACGAUUAGCUAGUUGGUGAGGUAAUGGCUCACCAAGGCGACGAUCGUUAGCUGGUCUGAGAGGACGAUCAGCCACACUGGGACUGAGACACGGCCCAGACUCCUACGGGAGGCAGCAGUGGGGAAUAUUGGACAAUGGGGGCAACCCUGAUCCAGCCAUGCCGCGUGAGUGAUGAAGGCCUUCGGGUUGUAAAGCUCUUUUGGCGGGGACGAUGAUGACGGUACCCGCAGAAUAAGCCCCGGCUAACUUCGUGCCAGCAGCCGCGGUAAGACGAAGGGGGCUAGCGUUGUUCGGAAUUACUGGGCGUAAAGCGAGUGUAGGUGGUUGUCAUAGUCAGGUGUGAAAGCCUUGAGCUCAACUCAAGAAAUGCACUUGAUACUGGGCGACUAGAGGACCGGAGAGGAUAGUGGAAUUCCCAGUGUAGUGGUGAAAUACGUAGAGAUUGGGAAGAACACCAGUGGCGAAGGCGGCUAUCUGGACGGUUUCUGACACUAAG
rnacentral:rRNA from 1 species